GUUCUCCUCCAUCAUGGCACUGAGGCGAUGCUCCAGCUCACGUUUUCUGUCUGUCAGCAUUUUGAUCUGCAGAGGGAUGAGAGCCGGCGUUGGACCCCAUACUUUCCAGGUUGCUGGAAAUGUUUGGCUGCACAGAGGAAUAUCAGCAAAGCACGUCUUGCUGUUUCUGCAGGGUAAAGGCUGUUGUAGGGAUCAGAAAGCUGCUCGCAGGUGGACGUUGUCCUUUACCAACCUGGCCAGCACAGCUACCAGCCUUCACCUUGCUCACCCCAAGCAGCUGGUUUGUUCACCCAGCACAGAAGGGUUCGUCUUAUGGAUGACAGCAGCCCUGACCGCUGUCUGAAGGAGCAAGGCCAAGCACGGGUGACUCACCUCAGCCUGGAGGCUCUCGAGCCGCACGAUGUGUUGGCUGCUGGAGGAGUUCUUCUCCCGAAAGUCCUCCCGGAGCGUGUGGACCUGCAGGGAGAGCUGCCGCUCCACCUCGGAUGCCUACAAGGAGACACCAGCCGGCAUUACCAUGGGGGGUUGUCCCAUGGCUGGAAAGCACUGAUCUGCAGACCUGCCCUCGUAUGACUUCUGCACAAGCCUUGGUUUUGGUUGAAGCUUUGAAGUUAGUUGAGUUUGGACCUGGGAAAUUCUCAUUUGGGAUGGGAGUGAAGGACAGCACCUGGUUAGAUGGACCACGCUAAUUUUCCCUUGGGAAAACUUUCCCUUGGAGGACACAGCUUAGGCUGCUGGAACAUCUUCAUGCUGAAAUACUCCACGGGAGCUAUCAAGGAUGAAAAAGCACCAGAUGAGAAGCACCGAAGGAUUUUGCCUGCGAGAUGCUGACCACACUCCCAAGGAGCACAAGCGGUACGAGAUGAGAUGACAUGGCAGCACCCAAUGUUUAACUGCAUAACAUCACCUACAUGCCUGAACAGCUCUAUGUGCAGGCAGUACAAGCAUGCAGCAUGGCAGUGAAAAAGAAGGGAAUGUUAACAGCACUGUAAAAAUCCGUGGUAAGACAGUUCACAGCUGCUGGAUCUGGUUCUGGUCCCUGUGCUCAGAGUGGAGAAGGUAAAGGGAGGGGCUGCAAGAGUGAUCCAGAGCAUGGCAAAUCUGUUAUAUGGAAGGAGACUUAAAGAGGAUGGCUUGCUUUAUCUCAUGCCAUGACUGCUGAGAGAGGGCUCCCCAUAAAUACAUCACAGCAUGCAGAAGGGGAAGCACGAUUUAAGCAGAAGUACAAUUGAGGCAGAAGAACUGAUGUGAAUAAACUGGCUAAGAGUAUAUUGAGGCUGGGAACUGGAAGAUUUCUAUGUUUCCAAGGAGCUGCAGUCAGAUCCCUCUUCUUGCACAAUUACAGUAGGAGGAACGGCAGCAAUAAUGAAUUCUGCAGUGGAGCUGGGUCACUUCAUCACCCGGCGUCUUUCAGAGAACUGCCUGUGACAGAAGGGAAAUGAAUUGACCUCAGAGGUCUUUUCCAGUUCUACAAUGCUUGCAGGACUGUAAGGUUUGCGUUAACCACCUCUUCAUCCUCAUCUGGAACGUAUCUACUUGCUGCUCAGCUUACACACUCACACACCCUAUUCCUGCAGCUGCAGCCCCCGGAAGGAAGGAAGGACUCCCUUACUGCCAGCAUCCAGGGCACCAAUGCAGACAGUGCUGUUGCCUCAGCCUACACCAUUCACAUCCUACCUAGUGCAGUAAAGUGAAAAGAAUUCCUUGGCCUCACAACCUGCAGAACACUAUCCCUGAGGAACUGUUUAACAGAAAUAAACAGGAAUGGCUCCAUCAUGUCUUUCCUUCCACAGGAGAACAAGGAAAAAUCCUCAUCUGCUUCUUCUAGGCAGUGAAAUGGCUGAUGCAGAUGUAUCCCUUUUUGCAAAGAUUUGAGUUUUCAUAAAGGCAAAGCCUGCUGAGCUGAGCUGAGGUCAUACAACCCUCCCUGUAGAGCUGUAGAGUUUCAUGCUACAUUUGUUUCCGACAUUAUUAAUACUGCUGCCAAAUUAUCCCUUCGAAUUGAUUAGAAAGUUGAGAUUUCCACAUUCAUUUGCAUUGCACAUAGGAAGCCACCUUGACAGCAUCCAACAUUCUGCAGGUUUUACAAUGUAUUUUCAUAUGUUUUCUGCUUGGGUUAUCACACCGCCGCCAGCUUCUGCGCGUUGUGCCUGUUUGCUCUAAACCACGAGCUCACUAUUGAUUAUUUCAGACAUCAGUGUCAUCAGAGAAUGUAACCUUCCAUCUACAUUUUCCAUUCACUGCUCAAAUAAGCCAUGGCUCUCACAUCUGUUGAACUGACGUGAGCUUCCUCUGCCCCAGCCAGUCUGGCUCUACUCUUACUAUGCGAACCGGAGUGCUUUCUCUUCUCCAUCAGUGUUUUCCUACACAAUAAAGGCUACACCAGCUGCCCAGGGGGUGGUGGGGUCACCCACCGUCCCUGGAGCUGAUCCAGAGCCAUGAAGGUGUAGCACUGAGGGAUGUGGGCAGUGGGCACAGUGGGGUGGGCUGGGGGAUCUGAGAAGUGUUUUCCAACCUCGGUGAUUCUAUGAAAAUAAAUGUAAAUACUGUCACUAAAUAACGUGUAAAUAAAUGUCACGACCAUCAAGAAAGGCUCUCUAACACUUGGGAUGGACUGUGAGAAAUGAACGCCUUGCUGGUCAAUUUCACUCAAAGAAAACCCUCUCUGGAGAGGAUAUUUGCUCCAUACAUCCAACUGCGUACAGAAUGUUUGGUUAUAAGUCGUGUCAGAAAGGAAAAAGGAAUGCAGAAAGUGGAACAGACUGUGACUGGGUGAAGAAACCAAUGCUGCCAUAUGAUUUGCUUCUACAAACAACAUGAUUCCAAUUUAACAAAGGAUAUCGAAGAUUUGCUUGCCUAAAAUAGAUAAGAGAAGAACUAAUUAGUGCUAAAUUCAGAAACUCCAGAGAGCGUUACCCCUGCAUUGAUUUGCUCAUCACUGAAUCCAAGGGACUCCCCGUUCCCACUGUGGUACUGUUAAUAACACUCCACCAAGCAAAGGGCAGAUACCAGUAGUGAGAGCACAGCUACUGAGCUACUGCGGGUAAGAUUUACUUCCUAACACAGACCUUUUUGCUCAGGACCCAUCUCAGCCCUCAGCUCUCUCCCCAGUGACUUUGCUUCCUACCUGCAGCUCAUCGGGGCAUCCUAUACUAACAGCAGGUGCACAAAAGAAGGAAAAACUGAGAAUUUUUUUAGCACAAAAUUCAUCUGUCAAGGAAAAAAAAUAAAAAGGAAUGGAAGAUGGAAAGGGUGAGGAUUCUUAAUUGCCAAAGCCAAGAGCUUUGUAAGCGAGGAGACCUGGAACUGCUCUUUUCUAAGCAUCGAGCUCAGGAGAUGUUACUGAUAGGAAAUGGCUCUUAGCCGUAGCAUCAAACCUGCUUCAUGAAACAGAGGAGGCAGUGGCAUCUCAUGUUAAAAUCUGCACUUCUCACACAGUGGUGGUAUUUUGGAAAUGAGAUACUUCAUCCCUUGCACAAAAAUGAAAGCUCUUUGCUGCAAACAUGUCUCUUACUCUUCAGUUUUUUCCCUUCUGUAGGACAAAUGGGAAAUGCUUUGAAAACCUGAGUUUUAACAUGAAAAAUGACAAGACUGUGAGCAGUCACCUCUUUGCACUCAUCACUGACACGGUGGGUUCUUGUGGGUAGCAAAAGGGUUAAUGCAGCAUCAGGCCAGAUAUCUCACACCUGAGCCAUGAGGGUCAACAGGGAGCUGGCCUGUAAGACAACAAGGAGCAGCUGGUCUGCUUGUGUGUGGGGUGGGGUUUGUGUCUGUUCUGGGAGAUAAGAAGUUGUUGAUGGAGCACUGGAUGUUUGGUUCUCAAUCUGAAGCCUGUUUUGAAGGAGGAAAGCUGCCUGUGUUGGCUGGCUUUGGUUGCUUCCCAUGUUUCAUGUAGCUGGGGAGUCAGAACUGCUGCUGGAAAUAGCUGCUGUUAACAUCCAGGUAACACAA